CAGUAGCCACGGGAAUACGAAGGGUGCAAGCGUUAAUCGGAAUUACUGGGCGUAAAGCGUGCGUAGGCGGUGAGUUAAGUCCGUUGUGAAAGCCCUGGGCUCAACCUGGGAAUUGCAGUGGAUACUGGGUCACUAGAGUGUGGUAGAGGAUAGUGGAAUUUCCGGUGUAGCAGUGAAAUGCGUAGAGAUCGGAAGGAACAUCUGUGGCGAAGGCGACUAUCUGGGCCAACACUGACACUGAGGCACGAAAGCGUGGGGAGCAAACAGGAUUAGAUACCCGAGUAGUCCCUGUCUCUUAUAC
rnacentral:rRNA from 1 species